rnacentral:rRNA from 1 species
UACAGAGGUCCCGAGCGUUGUUCGGAUUCACUGGGCGUAAAGGGUGCGUAGGCGGUCGGAUAAGUUUGAUGUGAAAUCUCCGGGCUUAACCCGGAAACUGCAUUGAAUACUAUUCGGCUUGAGGUUUGGAGGGGGGACUGGAAUUCUCGGUGUAGCAGUGAAAUGCGUAGAUAUCGAGAGGAACACCAGUGGCGAAGGCGAGUCCCUGGACAACACCUGACACUGAGGCACGAAAGCCAGGGGAGCAAACGGG